rnacentral:tRNA from 1 species
AAUGAAGUGCCUGAUUAAAGGAUUAUUUUGAUAGAAUAAAUCAUACAGCCCCCCUGUCUUCAUUA